rfam:Paenibacillus sp. FSL H7-0357, complete genome.
GAGACGGUAUCGCAGGGUCGAGCUGUACUCAUUCAAGCAAGCUGUACAACAGCAAUUUGCUUUUCGGAUUCACCUUCAUAACUGUAUUUCCACGGUUACGUUGGAUUCUGCUCUGAGCCGUAAGGACCGAGACAGAAGG